rnacentral:rRNA from 1 species
UAUAAAAUAUAUUAAGCAGCAUGUAUCAGUACACGCCUUAACAAGAUGAAAACGCGACGGCUCAUUACAACAGCUAUAAUCUACUCGAUCUUGAAACCCUACUAGGAUAACUGUGGUAAUUCUAGAGCUAAUACUUGCACCGAAGCUGUUCCUCGCGGAGCAGUGCAUUUAUUGGAGCAAAACCAGGCGGCUUCGGCCGUUUCUGCUGACUCAGAAUAACUAAGCUGACCGAAUGGGCUUGUCCCGUCGGCGUGUCGUUCGAGUGUCUGCCUUAUCAACUUUCGAUGGUAGUGUACGUGACUACCAUGGUUGUGACGGGUAACGGAGGAUAAGGGUUCGACUCCGGAGAAGGGGCCUGAGAAAUGGCCACUACGUCUAAGGAUGGCAGCAGGCGCGCAAAUUACCCACUCUCGGUUCGAGGAGGUAGUGACGAAAAAUAACAAGGCCGUUCUCUACGAGGCCGGCCAUUGGAAUGGGUACAACUCAAACCCUUUAACGAGUAUCAAUGAGAGGGCAAGUCUGGUGCCAGCAGCCGCGGUAAUUCCAGCUCUCAAAAUGCAUAGAACCAUUGCUGCGGUUAAAAAGCUCGUAGUUGGAUUUGUGCCGGCGCCAUGGUCCACCCUAGCGGGCGGUACUGUGCGCGUCGGCUUUGGGCCGGUCUCCGGGCGACGCUCUUCACUGGGCGCCGUCCGUGGCUGGCUGGUUUACUUUGAGCAAAUCAGAGUGCUCAGCACAGGCGUCUCGCCGGAAUGUUCGUGCAUGGAAUAAUAGAACAGGAUCACGGUCCUCUUUUAUUGGUUUUGUGGACUGAGAUAAUGGUUAACAGAGACGAACGGGGGCAUUCGUAUUGCUGCGUGAGAGGUGAAAUUCUUGGACCGCAGCAGGACGGACUACAGCGAAAGCAUUUGCCAAGCGCGUCUUCAUUAAUCAAGAACGAAAGUCAGAGGUUCGAAGGCGAUCAGAUACCGCCCUAGUUCUGACCGUAAACGAUGCCAACUAGCGAUCCGCCGGUGGCUCUAAGGCCCUGGUGGGGAGCUUCCCGGAAACGAAAGUCUUCCGGUUCCGGGGGAAGUAUGGUUGCAAAGCUGAAACUUAAAGGAAUUGACGGAAGGGCACCACCAGGAGUGGAGCCUGCGGCUUAAUUUGACUCAACACGGGAAAACUCACCCGGCCCGGACACCGUAAGGAUUGACAGAUUGAUAGCUUUUUCAUGAUUCGGUGGUUGGUGGUGCAUGGCCGUUCUUAGUUCGUGGAUCGAUUUGUCUGGUUUAUUCCGAUAACGAGCGAGACUCCAGCCUACUAACUAGUGCUGGCAUUGCUACUGUGCCGUUGCACUUCUUAGAGGGAUUGGCUGCGUCUAGCGGCACGAAACGGAGCAAUAACAGGUCUGUGAUGCCCUUAGAUGUCCGGGGCUGCACGCGCGCUACACUGGCAAAGGCAGCGUGCUUGUCCGUCUCCGAAAGGAGUCGGUAAACCCUUGAAAAUUUGCCGUGAUUGGGAUCGGAAAUUGCAAUUAUUUUCCGUGAACGAGGAAUUCCUAGUAAGUGCGAGUCAUCAGCUCGCGUUGAUUACGUCCCUACCCUUUGUACACACCGCCCGUCGCUGCCUAGAACUGAGCCAUUUCGAGAAUAUUCGGGAUCGCUGGUUGCGCGCUCUUCGGGGCGUGCCUCCGGCCGGAGAACGAACGUAAUCGCAGUGGCUUGAACCGGGCAAAAGUCGUAACAAGGUAGCUGUAGGUGAACCUGCUGCUGGAUCAUUACCUUGUCGAAGCAUACGACUAAGUAUUGUUGUUCGUUGGGAGCCAUGGUCGAGUCCGCCCUGGCCGCUGGUGGCUGCCUCUGCCGCCAGUGGCCCUUCCAUGGUUAGCUCCCGGGCCAUAGUCUACGUGCGCCCAGACAGGGCAUCAAUGAGCAAGCAGCUUCGGCCCACAGUAGGCUCUUGCUUGACACCGAGCCCGUAGGCGAAAACGGCUGUGCUGGAUCCUGUGCAAUGCUGAGCAGUUGUAGUCCGUAAUGUCCGUGGCUGCAAUGAGGCGUUGCGAUAGACCCUGCUGUCCACCGACUCUGUGGACGCGGGAGUAGGAUUAAUGAGUACUGAACCUAGUGCCGCCAGCAAAACCCUUUUUUCCACUAAUUUUUUUACACAACAAACAAAAUGUAUUAGUCUUGCCGGUGGACCUU